GGGUGCGGGGUGGCGACUCCCAUGGCGAAUGGCUGGGUCAAUAGCACAUCUUUAUUUUCUCUCUAGAUCAUUCUUCUUCCUAUUUUGAUUUGAGAAAGGGAACGUGAGAAUUAGGGCAACCAGAGUGUUUUCUCAGGUGCUGAAAGGCUCAGGGUGCUCGCCCACAUCAGUGAGGGAGGUGCAGCCGACGAAGGAAGUGCUGGGUGCAGAAGGGGAUGCUCUGAAAAGGUGGCUUCUGUUUGCAGUUUCAAAGCUCAG
rnacentral:lncRNA from 1 species